UACGGAGGGGGCGAGCGUUAUUCGGAAUUAUUGGGCGUAAAGGGCGCGUAGGCGGCCCGGUAAGUCAAAGGUGAAAUCCCUCGGCUCAACUGAGGAACUGCCUUUGAAACUGUCGGGCUUGAGGCCGGGAGGGGGUGGCGGAAUUCCCAGUGUAGCGGUGAAAUGCGUAGAUAUUGGGAGGAACACCAGUGGCGAAGGCGGCCACCUGGACCGGUUCUGACGCUGAUGCGCGAAAGCGUGGGUAGCAAAC
rnacentral:rRNA from 1 species